GAUGAACGCUGGCGGCGUGCUUAACACAUGCAAGUCGAACGAAGAUGCCGGAGUGCUUGCACUUUGGCAGACUGAGUGGCGGACGGGUGAGUAACGCGUGGGUAACCUGCCUUAUACAGGGGGAUAACAGUUGGAAACGACUGCUAAUACCGCAUAAGCGCACGGUAUCGCAUGAUACAGUGUGAAGAACUCCGGUGGUAUAAGAUGGACCCGCGUCUGAUUAGCUUGUUGGUGAGGUAACGGCCCACCAAGGCGACGAUCAGUAGCCGGCCUGAGAGGGUGAACGGCCACAUUGGGACUGAGACACGGCCCAAACUCCUACGGGAGGCAGCAGUGGGGAAUAUUGCACAAUGGGGGAAACCCUGAUGCAGCGACGCCGCGUGAGUGAUGAAGUAUUUCGGUAUGUAAAACUCUAUCAGCAGGGAAGAUAAUGACGGUACCUGACUAAGAAGCACCGGCUAAAUACGUG
rnacentral:rRNA from 1 species